ACUUUUCUCCCUCACUUCUGAUGGGAAGGAAAAGGAUUUGAAGAGUAGGCAGGUCCUCUGUUCUGAGCAUUUUCCUUGUAGUGUUUCAAGCACACACUACAAAUGAAUCCUUUCUGCAGCAAGUUGUGUCUCAGGGAGCCGAGAGGAAAUGAGCGGAUUGUGAUGUGGUCCCGGUGAAUUUGUUAUAACGUUUACAAGGCAACUCUUUUCCCAUCAGAAAGGAGCUUCCUGGGAAAGUAAAGCUGAAAUGAUGUUGCUCACGAACCUGAAAAGUUUCUGAGAGAGGAAAUUAAGGAUGAAUCCAGCUUUAUGAACAGUCACUCCUAUUAGUCAUUUAUCAGCACUGCUUCUUAAGAGCGUGGAUUUUGUACGGAGGAUGGUUCUGAAUGUCAAGACUGACGUUUUCUCAACCUGAACACAGCACCGCACACCGGCCUUGCUCUGGUUCCCACCGGCCCCAGCUACUCCACAUCCCAGGUGCCACGCACGAGCCAAAGACACAGCCCAAGGAUGAAGUAAUGGGAGCUGACCUGCAGCCUGCAACGUGAUCGGGGCAGUACAGAGCAGCAUCGGGUGAAUUGAACACAGAGAGGUGCGAGCAGAGCUGACCGUGCACCGGGCUGCACCAGCCUUCCUGCUGUUCCUCGAAAAACUCCCAGCCACAUACUGGCAUGAACAGAUCCCACUCAGUUCUUGGCAUUUAGCACGCUCACAGGCUGCAGUGAUUCAUAGAAAGCUCCUUGUUCUGGCCCUGGAAUGAGCGUACAUGUUUCAGAGCCUUUUUUUCAUGCAGCUAUGCUGCAGUCUCCUAAAAAUGCAUGUGCAGGCAGAUCGUUCUGCAGAUCCUAUGGCAACGGGCUGCACGGCGGCUGGCUGGCUGCAUGACAAUGUGCAAGGCUUGUGCAUGGAGAAACACCACGCUCACAGGGAGAAAACUUCCUAGGAAUAUUAGUAUGCAGCACCCACUGCCAAGAUAUCAUAGCAAUCCAGCAAGAUCUGACUGCUCAGAAUUAUUAUUCAUGUACAGUGGAAUAUGUAUUUUUUUUUUAAGCAGCAUUGUAAAUUAAUGCCAGCAAAACGUAAUUUGUAAUUUAAAUGUAAAUCAGAAUUGAGUAAGGAUAUAAUGAAGCUCCGAAUGCCUCGGUGGUAUUUGCUAACCCGUCUGUUUUGUGGUGCUUUUUUCACCAAGAUGUUAAAGUUCAUUGUUCAUGCUGAAUACCUCCAAGUGUGUUAUCUGUAUACGUGUGCAGUAAAUACAUACAUAAUAACGAAAGCUCAGGCUACGUGCUGUUGAACUCUGGAUUGACACAUCUGACACAUUUGAUGUAUUUCUGCCAAAAGGAAGGCUGCUUUGCACAGAGGGUGAGAUGACAACUUGCUUUUCCCAUGCACUUUCUCAGCCAACUUUACACACAAAGGUACCUGGGCCCAAAGCCUGCUGCCAGACACGUGGCUCCGGUUGCCUUUGACAAGCAGAACUGAAAUUAUUACUGACAGCUGAAAUGAAGAUUUUAAUACUUACUCAAGCUCUUUUUUGCAUAGAGCCAGGAGCAGCACAGCCUACGAUGUGUGGUGUGUCAGCCACUUACAUCAAAGUAAAUGCAAGCUGAGGCUUUGCAGCACUGGAAGGAUGUCCAGCAACUUUCCGCGUGCUGCAGCCAAGUGGGUUUUCUUCAUACAAAUAGUGGGUAAAGGUGCAGAGGGAAGCUUGCCCUUUUAUGAAACUGAGGACAUACCUACAUUAGCAGUAUGCAGAGUGUAAGUGGUGUUAAACAGUGCUUAAAUGUAACAAAGGAGGAAAAUUGGGAACAAAGU
ensembl:lncRNA